AGACAAUUCCGAAUAUAUGGCUAACACGACCUAGUAUGAGUUUGACACGUAAUUUUAGAUAUCUGAAUUACUUGAAAUUCACCUGUUAUGACUUAUGAUAUAUGUUACUAGUAUUAUUUUUGUUUUUUUGAAACACAAUACUCGUAUAUAUUGCCUAAUUACCAAGUUUUUAAUGUAGUUUGAGCCAAUUGACUCAUAUUUUAAAAUCUAAGAAAUAUACAUGUUUUCUGUCCUCAUCAACACUUGCAAGUUCUUAUUCUCAAACUCAGUUCAAACUAGUAUCUAAACCAUUUAUAAUUGAUAUAUCAUUUUUAGUGAUUAAAAAUAUUAUUAUUUAACAUAUAAUUAACAUGUUUAAAAUAUAUUAGGUCCAACAGUAUAAAUUAUUCAAAUGCUACAAGAUUUUAGAAAAUUAUUUUCAACUUUAUUUUAAGAAAUAACAACAGACAAAACCAUCAAAGCUUAUUUUUUCGAAUUAAGUAUCCGUUUAAUAUUUGAUUCUCACAUGCUGUAAUCGAAUCAGGUUAAGUAUAAUUGUAAUUAAUUAAUUUUUCUUUAAAAAAAAGAGACACACAAGGGGCUGAAUAGUCCAAGGUAAGGCUCCUUCCUCUCUGCGCUUUAUUCUGUUCAAGUCCGCUUCUUUUUUACUUUGCCGUUUCACUGAGAACGAGGCUCACAUUCUUUCUCUCUCUCUCUUUCUCAAUCUCAGAAGAAGAAGCAGCAGGACCAAGUAGAAAGCUUAAUCACACACACACACUCUCUCUCUCUCUCUCUCUCUCUCUUCAAAUCACUUUUGUUUUCUCUCUCUCUCCAAAAUCUUCCUCAUUGUCUUUGGCUGCUUCAAGAAACUGUUGUCUCUUCAACACUUUCUUUCCUCUGCUUAUUACAAAUCAACAACAACAAAAAAGUCUUUUCUUUUUGUCUCUCUUGGGAGAAAGAGUCUCUCAAAUUAAACCCAUUUUAGACAAAACCGUUAAUCCUAAUCCAGCUCCAUCUUUGCCCUCAUUAGCUUCUGUCUGAGAUUCAAAGAAAGAAGCCAAUUCUUCUUGUCAACAGUUAUUCAACUAAAAGCCCCAAACUUGCUCAACAUUUUUCAAUGGAGUGAGUCGACAGAUCCAAGAACAAACAUAUACACAAGUAAGAAGCAGCAAUGAGAGACGACAAAUCCAAGAAAAGCAAGCUGUCAUGGUCAAAGAAGAUGGUGAGGAAAUGGUUCAACAUCAAAAGCAAAACAGAAGAGUUUCAAGCUGAUGUUUCUCUUCCUCAAGUUGUAGAAGUUGAGCACAGAAGUAGCAUCUCAGAGAAGGAGCCUUCCACAAUCAAGAAGAGCAAAGCUGAGAAACUCAAUAAAAACUGGGAGCAGCAAGCUAGACAAAGGAGAAUGAACUAUGAGAACCCAAGAAUCAUUGAUGUCCAAAACUACAGCAUCUUUGUAGCUACAUGGAACGUUGCUGGACGCUCUCCUCCUGAAGAUCUAAACCUUGACGAGUGGCUUCACUCCUCAGCUCCUGCAGAUAUAUACGUACUUGGAUUCCAAGAGAUUGUUCCUCUUAACGCUGGUAACGUUCUUGGAGCUGAAGACAACGGUCCCGCCAAAAAAUGGCACUCCCUCAUCAGAAAAACACUCAACAACCUCCCAGGGACAAGCAGCCUCUCUCACACUCCAUCCCCCAUCCCUGUCCCCAUUGCAGAGAUUGAUGCUGACUUCUCUGGAUCUUCUAGACAAACCUUCUUCAACAGACGCUCUUUCCAGACCCCAAGCAUAUGGAGAACGGAUGAGAACGACUCUUCGGCCACACAACCACCAGUUGAGCGUCGUUUAAGCGUGUGUGAUCGUGUCUUCUUCAGUCAUAGACCGAGUGACUUUGAUCCUAGCUUCAGGUGCAGUCACAGGCCUAGUGAUUACUCUAGAGCAAGUGAUUAUUACUCUAGACCGAGUGAUUAUUACUCUAGAGCGAGUGAUUACUCUAGGCAGAGUGAUGUCUCUCGGUGUGGUUACUCAGAUGAUGAUUAUGCUCCAGGGGAUUCACCAAGCACAGGCUUGUAUUCGCCAGGGUCGAACGAGAAUGGUUCUAGAAUCUCUUGGAACUCUUCUCAGUAUUGUUUGGUGGCUAGCAAGCAAAUGGUUGGUAUCUUUUUAACAGUUUGGGUGAAGAGUGAGUUGAGAGAACAUGUCAAGAACAUGAAAGUGUCUUGUGUUGGGAGAGGAUUAAUGGGUUAUCUUGGAAACAAGGGAUCAAUCUCUAUUAGUAUGUUGCUUCACCAAACAAGCUUUUGCUUUGUCUGCACUCACUUGACAUCAGGACAAAAAGAAGGAGAUGAGCUGAGGAGAAACUCUGAUGUGAUGGAGAUACUCAAGAAGACAAGGUUUCCUCGUGUCCAGAGUUCUGCAGGAGAGAAGUCUCCAGAGAAUAUACUUCAGCAUGAUCGAGUAAUAUGGCUUGGGGAUCUGAAUUACCGGAUAGCACUCUCUUACCGAUCUGCUAAAGCACUUGUUGAGAUGCAAAACUGGAGAGCAUUACUAGAGAACGACCAGUUGAGGAUAGAGCAGAAACGAGGACAUGUGUUUAAAGGAUGGGACGAAGGGAAGAUCUACUUCCCACCAACUUACAAAUACUCAACUAACUCUGAUAGGUAUGCUGGAGAUGACUUGCAUCCCAAGGAGAAACGUCGCACUCCUGCUUGGUGUGAUCGAAUACUAUGGUAUGGAGAAGGACUGCAUCAGUUAUGUUAUGUAAGAGGAGAGUCAAGAUUCUCGGAUCAUAGACCAGUUUAUGGCAUAUUCAGCGCAGAGGUUGAGUCAAAUCACAAGAGAUUAAAACGAGCCACGAGUUACUCUACUUCAAGGGUCCAAGCUGAAGAACUCUUGCCUUACCCAAGAGGAUACACCGAGCUAACUUUUUUCUAAAAGGUGUAUUAAAGUUUUUUUUUAAAAUUUAUUGUUGGUGUUUGAAGCUUUGAAGAGUGAUGGAGACAUUACAUUGCUUCUUUUAACACAAAAGGAAACAGGUGUAGAAAAGGGUUGUAAUUUUGUCUUGGUUAAUCUAAUUUGGCGUAUCAAAUCAAACCGGUUCUUUUCUUUUCAUGGAUCUUCUAACUUUUGAAGAAUUGAUUAAUCCCAAGGUAAUUUUAUUUUGGUAAAUUAUAAAACAUGUGUUAUGUGAAGGAUUAUGAAACUGAUAGAUGGAAGUGUUUUUACAAUCCAUCUUUUUUUUUAGUUUAAUGCUUAGUGAAUAUUUUUUGCAUAUUAUUAUAAGUGAAGUGUGGUCACAUCUUCCCUAAUGAUAGUGUAAUGCUUGUUGUAUAAGUUUAGCCGUGUAACAAAAAGAUUAUGCCAAAAAGAAAGCAUUAUUUUAUUUUUUUAUUCAUUCU